rnacentral:lncRNA from 1 species
UCUUCCCUGUUUUUUUUGACUUGGCAGCCAUUGUCACUUCAAACACUGUUAUACCCAAGUUUCCAAUAUCGCCCCCAAAAACCAGAGACUGCCAGGGAGACCGAGUCACGCAUUCAAAAGCAAAGGGCUUUAUUAUGGGCUUAGGCUCGCCGGGGGCUAAACUCGGGCUCACAGACUUUACUGGCGUGGUGGAUCCAUGCUGAGAGCCCCGAACAAAGGUGGGUAGGGCUUUUAUGAGUUUGGGAAGGGGGAGUUACAGGAAAUUGUGACAUAGGUACAGUGAUCCAAUCAUUAUUAUACAACAUUAUUGACAGCAGGUUUAACCAUUCACAUUGCCUAGAGUAUUUGUUACUUUUGGCAGGACCCAAUCACAACAUUUAGAGUAUUGACCAAUCACAGAGUGGGCCCAGUACCCUCACAUAGGGUGUGACUAGUCUUUAGCCUCCAUCUUUAGGCCUGCCCUUAGAAAUGUUAAAGGUGUUAGCUGGCCUUUCCUGAUUGGGCGUUACAAGGGUGGUCCCUCUUGCCUUGGGCAGUGUGUGCCCUUCUAUUGUCUCAUGGAGUCAGUUUCAGACCUGCAUCCCUACAACUGAGAGUUUUAUUUAAGUAAAAGUUUACAAUAAAAUUUCAAUUAUAAAUGCAACAAGUCUGAAACUGCCAUCUACAAAAGUGAAAGGGUACAAGGAGCUACUGUCCCCACUCCUUUUCCUGCAGCAGCCUCCACCUUGCACAUGGCAGCCAACCCUGCACUGGAUGCUACCUGUGGGCCAGCCCCAAAACCCGCCAGUGCCUUCCUCCUGGGCCCCUUCUGGCAAGCAGUGGAGUCCCAGGCUGUUCAGAGAAUCCAGUGACUUUCUACACCUCAAGUUUUAAUACAUAGAAUUAAAGCGUAUGAAGAUGGGGUAAUGCCAGAAACACUCCUUCAAAACUGAAACCCAUUUGUGAGAUCUGUUUCAGUUCCUACUGUAGACACUUCUGUUUUUUAUUAUUAAUUACUGAAUAUAUUUAACUUGGAAUCAGUUUAUUCUGAAUUCUAGCAUAUUUUUAGUGGACAAAUGUUCAAAUCUGUCUGUGCCCC